rnacentral:tRNA from 1 species
AGGCUUGGUAGUUUAAAAAAGACACUAAAUUGCAAGUUUAGAGAUGUAUGUAAUACUUAGGCUUA